GACGAACCGUGCGAACGUUAUUCGGAAUCACUGGGCUUAAAGCGCGUGUAGGCGGGCCGCCGCGGCGGCUGCUGAAAUCCCCCGGCUCAACCGGGGAACGGGCACCGAUACGGGCGGCCUCGAGGGGGGUAGGGGGGCCUGGAACUUCCGGUGGAGCGGUGAAAUGCGUUGAGAUCGGAAGGAACGCCCGUGGCGAAAGCGAGGCCCUGGACCCUUUCUGACGCUGAGACGCGAAAGCCAGGGGAGCGGACGGG
rnacentral:rRNA from 1 species